GACGAACGCUGGCGGCGUGCCUAAUACAUGCAAGUUGAGCGCUGAAGGUUGGUACUUGUACCGACUGGAUGAGCAGCGAACGGGUGAGUAACGCGUGGGGAAUCUGCCUUUGAGCGGGGGACAACAUUUGGAAACGAAUGCUAAUACCGCAUAAAAACUUUAAACACAAGUUUUAAGUUUGAAAGAUGCAAUUGCAUCACUCAAAGAUGAUCCCGCGUUGUAUUAGCUAGUUGGUGAGGUAAAGGCUCACCAAGGCGAUGAUACAUAGCCGACCUGAGAGGGUGAUCGGCCACAUUGGGACUGAGACACGGCCCAAACUCCUACGGGGGGCAGCAGUAGGGAAUCUUCGGCAAUAGACGAAAGUCUGACCGAGCAACGCCGCGUGAGUGAAGAAGAUUUUCGGAUCGUAAAACUCUGUUGGUAGAGAAGAACGUUGGUGAGAGUGGAAAGCUCAUCAAGUGACGGUAACUACCCAGAAAGGGACGGCUAACUACGUG
rnacentral:rRNA from 1 species